GCCGAUGUAGCUCAGUUGGUAGAGCAUCUGUUUCGUAAUCAGAAGGUCGUCAGUUCGAUUCUGAUCAUCGGCUCCA
rnacentral:tRNA from 3 species